ensembl:lncRNA
AUGCUCAGUUUAACUUGCACACAUAUGAACAGAAAGUCUCCAGGGGGUCGAUCCACAACAAAGGUCUUAAUUGCCAACCACUUACCCAGCUCCAUCAGGUCUAGCUCCAUCAGGAGGCCCAGCUCUAUAAACAGCUCCAACUCUGUCAGGAGGCCCAGCUCCAUCAAGAGGCCCAACUUCGUUAGGAGGUUUAACUCCGUUGAGAGGCCUACCUCUGUCAGGUCUAGCUUCAUCAGGAGGCUCAGCUGUAUCUGGAAACCCAGCUCCAUCAGAAGGCCCAACACUAUCAGGAGACCUGGCUACAGUAGAGGGCCCAAUUUUGUCAGGAGGCUCAGCUCCAUCAGGAGCCCCAACUCUGUCAGGUCUAGCUUCAUCCUGAGGCUUGGCUACAUCUGGAAACCCAACUCUAUCAGGAGCCCCAAAUCCAUCAGGUCUAGCUCCAUCCUGAGGCUUGGCUACAUCUGGAAACCCAACUCUAUCAGGAGGCCCGGCUCCAUCAGGAGCCUCAACUCCGUCAGGUCUAGCUCCAUCCUGAGGCUUGGCUACAUCUGGAAACCCAACUCUAUCAGGAGGCCGGGCUCCACAGGAGGCCAAUUUCAGUGGGGCCUAGCUCCAUUAGGAGGCCCAGCUCCAUAAACGUCUCCAAGCACAGACUACAGGAGGCCUGUCUCUGUCAGGAGAUGCUCCUCUGUGAUCAGGGCCUCUUCCUGCAGCCGACAGAUCCAGACAGACUCUGUAAUGGAAACUCUGACUCCAGAGCCUGAGGGGAAAGCGCUGGCAUCUCUGGCCUAAUGUUCCGGUCACAGACACACCUCACCUUUCACCCGCACCGGCGAUGUGGAACGAACAGAGAGGAAAGCAGAUGACGAGACGCCAAAGCAAGUGUGUGUGGCUGUAAACAAUUAAAUCAAGCAGGCAUAUUACUCAGACCUACAGACAGAAACGUCAACAAACUAAACUACUGACCCUGAGAGUUAAACCUGAGCGCGACUGACAGAUCAGACGACUGAACUAUUUAAUCACAUUCAUUCAUUUGCUUCUAUUGUCCUCAUGUGUAAGUCGCUUUAGAUAAAAGCAUCUGCUAAAUGACUAAAUGUAUAUGUAAAAUAAUAUCAAAUACAGUAUUUAAAAAAUAAAAAACUUGAAGCAAUUCCA